GGACUACUCGGGUAUCUAAUCCUGUUUGCUCCCCUUGCUUUCGUGCCUCAGCGUCAGGACGAAGCUAGAAAACCGCCUUCGCCACUGGUGUUCUUCCACAUAUCUACGCAUUUCACCGCUACACGUGGAAUUCCGUUUUCUCCGCCUUUCCUCUAGAAAUACAGUUUCAGAUGCACAGCUGAAGUUGAGCUUCAGUAUUUCACAUCUGACUUAUAUUCCCGCCUACGCACCCUUUACGCCCAGUAAUUCCGACUAACGCUUGCACCCUCCGUAUUACCGCGGCUGCUGGCAC
rnacentral:rRNA from 1 species